UGGCUCAGUUGGUAGAGCAUGGUGUUUGCAAUGCCAGCAUGGUGUGUGCAAACGCCAGGGUUGUGGGUUCGAUUCCCAC
rnacentral:tRNA from 1 species